CAUUGGAUAGCUCAGCGGGUAGAGCAUCAGACUUGUAAUCUGACUGUCCCGGGUUCGAAUCCCGGUCCAGCUC
rnacentral:tRNA from 1 species